UACGUAGGGGGCAAGCGUUGUCCGGAAUCAUUGGGCGUAAAGAGCGUGUAGGCGGCCCGAUAAGUCCGCUGUGAAAGUCCAGGGCUCAACCCUGGGAUGCCGGUGGAUACUGUCGGGCUCGAGUCCGGAAGAGGAGUGUGGAAUUCCUGGUGUAGCGGUGGAAUGCGCAGAUAUCAGGAGGAACACCAAUAGCGAAGGCAGCUCGCUGGGACGGUACUGACGCUGAGGUGCGAAAGCGUGGGGAGCAAACAGG
rnacentral:rRNA from 1 species